ensembl:lncRNA
CUUUAUUUCAAUACAAACAGCUAUUCCUAAAAUAUACAAAACACACAUUUAAUUUUUCGAAAUUUUAUUUAACCUUUAACCUAGGCAAAUCUGUUAAGAAAAAAAAUCUUAUUUACAAUGAGUGCCUACACCGGAUGACGUUAGGCCAAUUGUGCGCCACCAUAUAGCACUUCUAAUCACAGCUGGUUGUGUUACAGACUAGAAUCGAACCAGAGAGUCUGUAAUAAGGCCUCUAUCGCUGAUAUGCAGUGCUUUAGACCACUGUGCCACAAAUAUUACAAUAGUAAUAAGACUAAUGCAGAAAACAGUGCCACUCAAAACCUGAGCUUCAUCAUAUGAAACCUUUAAAAAAGCUUUUAAUAUCUCAAAAAUAUUGUUUAAUGUAUUCAUUCUGCAAUUGUUGCUCUUGUCAGUCCCUUUAUUCACUUUGAUUUAUUAUUUCACACACUUUUGUCUCUGUUGCUCGUUGCUCUGAUUGUUGUAAUCUGGUUGUAACACUGGUUUGUCAGGUUUACAAUGUACAAUUAUGAUGAUAAUGACGACAAAACCUACUGUCAUGCGCUAUUGCUGUACAAAGAUGAAAUAUGGAACUAUUUUCCCUCGCUGAUUCUUCCCUCACAAUGCAGUCACAUCAUCCUUGUCUCUGCCCCCCUCACUCCUAUCCUCAGACCAGAUGGCACUACCAGAGAAUUGAUGCAGGUCUAUCAGCAAACCUCCUCCUCCACUUUUUUCUCCUCCCACUGCUCCCUCAUCACUCUCUCCAUCCUCUUUGCUUUCCCACUUUUCCUCCAUAUUCUCCUCUCUCUCCUCCUCACGCUCUCUUAUCUCUUCCUUCUCGCCCGUGAGCUUUGCUCUCUCCCUCAGGUCACAGCCCUCCAUGCUGGAGUAGUCAUCCGACGAGUCAUCCCCUCUGUCUUCCCUCUCCUCGCCCUCCUCCUCCCCCUCAUUUUCCCUUCCCUCGCUCCCUCUCUCCACAUCCCUCUCUUCAUUUUUGUGUUCCUCCUCUCUUAUGGCCUCCUCAUCCGCGCCAAGGGGCCACAGCCGGCACCCAAGCCGCACUUCCAGGACUCUGACCCCAGCCAUGAUCCGGUCCCUGGCCCCAUCCUGCCCAUAGACCAGUUGGCGGACUGUGUACUGGCCAUUAGUCUUGCGGUUCAGCCACAUGUACAGGAAGACCAGGAGGCAAACAAGGAAGACCAGGAGGAAGAAGGCAAUCAAUACUUUUCUGGUGGAUGUCGUUUUGUCAUAUACGUUGUUCAUGCCUAGAAGUGAAGAGUAAAAUUGGAAUGACUGUUUAGACUGACAUUUGAAAGGGACAUUUGGUUGGGAUCUUAACACCAAGUGAAUCUGGAUCUAAGGGGUUUUACAAUGUCUGUAUGAUUCGGAUCCUGAAGUGUUUCAUUUGGCCUGAUCUGCACUGUAAACAAUUAUAUUUCAAUUGUCAAACCGAAUUUAAAUGGAAUUGACCCCACCUUGAUGGUCACAAAAUACAAGUCUCUUAAUCUAAAGCUUUUCAAGUCCAGUCAUGCUUGGCCUUUUAUUAGAACAAAAUAAAUCCUCUCAGAAUAUCAAAACCAUAAACCC